rnacentral:lncRNA from 1 species
AACCUUGGCACAGAUUCUCCUACAGCCAUUCCAAGCAAUACAACAGCUGAUCGUAGAGCAACACGUUUCCAGCCAAAAGCUAUUGCAAAAAUAUCCUGGAAGAGAGCAGAAUAACCAAGGGCACUUGACAAACAAAGUUGAACAGCAGCAAAUAGAAUGGCAGCACUCAUCAAAAAAUUUCCUGGAACCAUUUGAAGAACAUUGGCUGCUGUAUUACCUCCAUACUUCCAGAUGGCCAAGCUAGUGGUAAUGUCAUGCUUUUACCUAAGAAAGAAAUUACAACUGCUUUAUUGAUGUCUUCCGGACGACGCAUAUCCACUUGUACUGUCAUCAAAGUUGGAUGUACAUCAAAUUGAAAUGCUAGCAUACCAUAUCUGAAAUUACCCAGAAAUAAAUUUAUCCCAAGUGGGAGAAGUAGGUAGAGGCAUGAUAUUUAGUUCACGGUCGUCGGUAAUUAUACACCACCAUAUUAACAUUGCUGUCAGUAAUACCAUUGUGCAAGAAAAUAAAGCCAAUAUUCUGAAUUACUUCAUAUCGCGUGGACUACCUAGCCACAUAAUUGGGCACAAAAGAAGACCCACAAUUAGAAGCCAAUAACAAAAGGAUAGAUCAAAUCGUUGUCCUGAUAUUUUUAAUCCGAAUAACUGCAAAUUUUGAGAAGCUGAAAUUGAUCAACAGUGUUACAUAAACAUAUUUAAUUUAUAGUUCAUAUUUAUUUAUAUAAAUAUAAACAAAUUUUAAUUAUAAUGAGAACGUACCAACUAACAAAUUAGGAAUGCUGCAACCGAAAACUGUGAUAUCUAAAAUUAUAGUGACUAAAGUUUUUGCUCGAGGCCCUAACGUUAAUUCUGUCACGGCAGCCAAAGGAUGCCUACAAAGUGAAUUUAAUUAACAUUUGAUAAGUAAACUACAAAUGAAAGCUUACCGAUUUUUUCGUAAAAUUUGUGGAUCCAAAGAAGUUGCGAUUAUCCAUGAUUUUCCGAGAAGAACGGCCGUAUAAAUUUGCAAAGCUAAUACAAUAAGUACUAGUGGAAUUCCGUAUAAUCCUGCAAUCACAAGGCAGAAUUUUGUUUUUUUUUUCAGGAAUUAUAAUCGUCUAGAAAAUGUCCUCUGUAUAAACAUGAAUGCUUUCAGUACGCAAUAGCGGAAGCAAGGAUAGCUUGCGGUUCAGGUGGAUUAAAUAACAAAAUUUUUAACAAGUUAACCAACUUUAUUUUAUUCAAAAUGAUCAACUUUCCCACACGAUAUCGUGUGCUCAAAUAUUGUUUGCAGCGAUCGCUUUAAGUAAUAAAUGUAAUAAAUCAAUCAUAUAAAUCGUUUCAAUUUAAAUAAAAUAUAUUAUGGAAUAAACGAUAAAGUUACAUUGUACAUACAGUUAACUAUAUACAGUAUGUUUGAUUUGCAUGAAUAUAUGGAAUUAUCCCAUAAGUAAUAGAAUGUAUGAAUCAUUUAAAAAUCUGUUGAAUUUAAAGAAUACAUAUUAAUUUCAUAUAAUAAAUAAUUAUUUAUUCGCGUCAUGAGUUGUUUAAUAAUUCAUAGUUAAAUUUUCUUUUCACUCAUUAUUACAAUUUACAGGAUCAAAUAUGUCAAAGUAACACUUUAUCCAAAAAGGAAAAGUUUGAACUUCAAUUACUUAGAAAAUAGUUCCCUAUGUCCACUGUAAUUAGACACACUGCAUACGUAUAUAUACAUAUUCGUAUCCUAUUUUAUUUACACGUUGAAUGCCAUAGAAGUUAUCAAAGAUAUUAUAAAUUUAUCAUAAUUAAAAAAAAAUUGUAAUAUUGUAUGGACUUCAUAAAGUAUCAAAUAUAAAGUUGGACUUCGAAAUUAAAGUUAUUUUCAUCUGAAUUAUUAUAAUUUAUCCUGGCAUUGAACGUGUCAAAAUAAUCUAACUAAAUAUAAAGUGCUCGUCACAAAAUAAAGAACUUAAUAAAAACUAUACACGUAAUCUUUUCAA